GAGCGCGGGAGAGGCUGCCCCUUCCUGACACAGGGAGAGCUGAGAUAUUUGGACGAGAUGAUCUUGGCUUCCCACUCCACGCCCUCAGUCAUUCACACUUGCACCUACCUCGGGAGGGCUUGCUCGACUCCUCUUUUGCCUCCUAGCUCUGAGAGGUGAUCCGAGGCAAGUCCCUAAGGGGGCACGACUAACCCGGAGGCUGUCGAGGGACAGACAGCUCCUCAGCCUGCGUUUCCUCCUGCUAAGUGCACAGAAUUUCAUGAGCUGCCAUGGCCAAAGAAUUGAUUACCAAAUGAACAGCCUGAUGGUGAUGAUCUUCUCUGCACUAAGGAAGGUCCUCAGAAAGCAAAUAUAUUGUUGCCAGACUGUACUAGAGAUCUUUCCAGAGGUAGAAAUUACCAGAGUUUGAUCUCCAUAGGUAUCGCCUUUGAGAACCCAGAGUGACUGCCAUACCAAGAUACAGCGUUGUAGCAACAAUUACAAUAAAUAGACUCUACACUGGACAUUAUCGAAGACAGAAGCAAACAUCUUUGAUGACAAUACCUCUCUUCAGUUUAUGACUUGCCUGAUAUAAUCAAAAGAGUCAUUGAAAGAAGUUACCUCCCUUACUAUAUCUCUGAAGGCAUCGUGGAUGACUUUAACGUAUUCAUGGAAGAUGUUUUGUUAAAGUCAUUAAGGUGAUGUUUUGCUCUACUAAACCAAAUGCUUUUUUAUAUGCAAUUAUACUGAAAUAUUUCAUUUUCUACAUGUUUUAGUCAAUUGCAUGAUUGCAAAAAAUGAGGUCUACUAUGGAAUGUAAUUUUUAAAAGCAUUCUUAUCCCCUUUCAUCAAAAAUGCUCUCAAUGGGUAUAUACAGAUGAUUUUUAUAGACAUUUUCAUAGAAAUGGGAAAGUAAGCACAUAGAUCAGUGGUUUCUAAAAUUCUCUUGGUCAUCUUCCCCAAGACUUUGGCAUCUUUUCUUUGGAUACCUUGGUAAUUUAUCUCUAGAUAUCCUCGGAAUUAUAUCACCUUAAGAUCAACUUCCUAUUCUACUUCAGUUGCCUUUUCUAGCUUUGCUUUCUUUUGUGCUUUCCCUGCUUCCUCGUGAUGGUCCUUGCAUCAAGGACCUUAGAAUGAAGAUUUUAUGGUUCAACUACCAUUAAGUAGAAGGAAAAAUAUAAAAAUCUUUAUAAUCUUUUGCAUUUUUGAUCUGUUCAUUGUCCAUUCCAGUUGUUCACCCUUGGUAAAGAGACCUAGUAUUUGUUAGCUGAAAGGGUUUUAAGGCUUUUUAUUCUUGUUUCAGGAAUUAAUUUAUGUCUAACUUCCUAAGGAAACCAACAAGAAUUUAUUGAGCACUUACUAAGUCCCAGGCACUGUGAUAAUAGUUUAAGUAGACUUUUAUUCUUUUCCUGUCUUUCAGCAUCACUAGCUUGUUUAAGUCAAGUUGCUUGACUCCACAUCCUAUUGCCUUCUCAUUUUUGUCAUUUCCUCCAAUGCUUUUGAUGUAGAUUUUUGUUCUAACAAAUUUGUGUUCUAAUACAAACAGCUGAUUUGGAAAUGGCUUACAUUGAGAACCAUUUGUUUUCCAUUAAAAUAUAAUCAAUUGCACUUUUUAUGAUGUUAUGUUUUUUGGG